rnacentral:tRNA from 1 species
GCCCCUGUGGUGGAAUGGUAGACACGGCAGACUCAAAAUCUGCUUCUUGCAAAAGCAUGCUGGUUCAAGUCCGGCCAGGGACA